rfam:Ophiophagus hannah scaffold1509.1, whole genome shotgun sequence.
CCAGCAUUCCCUGAUAGGCCAAGGUGUCCUACAGAAAAGCCUUGGGUGUCACCUACAGGGGGUCUGG